GAUGAAGAACGCAGCGGAAUGCGAUAAGUAAUGUGAAUUGCAGAAUUCAGUGAAUCAUCGAAUCUUUGAACGCACAUUGCGCCCGCCAGUAUUCUGGCGGGCAUGCCUGUUCGAGCGUCAUUUCAACCAUCAAGCCCCCGGCUUGUGUUGGGGACCUGCGGCUGCCGCAGGCCCUGAAAAGCAGUGGCGGGCUCGCUGUCACACCGAGCGUAGUAGCAUACAUCUCGCUCUGGGCGUGCUGCGGGUUCCGGCCGUUAAACCACCUUCAUAACCCAAGGUUGACCUCGGAUCAGGUAGGAAGACCCGCUGAACUUAAGCAUAUCAAUAAGCGGAGGA
rnacentral:misc_RNA from 1 species